rnacentral:rRNA from 1 species
AUUGAACGCUGGCGGCAGGCCUAACACAUGCAAGUCGAACGGUAACAGGAAGAAGCUUGCUUCUUUGCUGACGAGUGGCGGACGGGUGAGUAAUGUCCGGGAAACUGCCUGAUGGAGGGGGAUAACUACUGGAAACGGUAGCUAAUACCGCAUAACGUCGCAAGACCAAAAAGGGGGACCUUCGGGCCUCUUGCCAUCGGAUGUGCCCAGAUGGGAUUAGCUAGUAGGUGGGGUAACGGCUCACCUAGGCGACGAUCCCUAGCUGGUCUGAGAGGAUGACCAGCCACACUGGAACUGAGACACGGUCCAGACUCCUACGGGAGGCAGCAGUGGGGAAUAUUGCACAAUGGGCGCAAGCCUGAUGCAGCCAUGCCGCGUGUAUGAAGAAGGCCUUCGGGUUGUAAAGUACUUUCAGCGGGGAGGAAGGGAGUAAAGUUAAUACCUUUGCUCAUUGACGUUACCCGCAGAAGAAGCACCGGCUAACUCCGUG